rnacentral:misc_RNA from 1 species
GAUGAAGAACGUAGCGAAAUGCGAUAAGUAAUGUGAAUUGCAGAAUUUAGUGAAUCAUCGAAUCUUUGAACGCACAUUGCGCCCGCCAGUAUUCUGGCGGGCAUGCCUGUUCGAGCGUCAUUUCAACCAUCAAGCCCCAGGCUUGUGUUGGGGACCUGCGGCUGCCGCAGGCCCUGAAAACCAGUGGCGGGCUCGCUGUCACACCGGGCGUAGUAGAUUUUAUCUCGCUCAGGGCGUGCUGCGGGUUCCGGCCGUUAAAAAGCCUUUUUUACCCAAGGUUGACCUCGGAUCAGGUAGGAAGACCCGCUGAACUUAAGCAUAUCAAUAAGCGGAGGA